GGGGGCGAACUAGAUUCGACGGGGAUGAACGGGGUGCCAGACAGCGAGCCGAGCUCUGUGACUCGUAAAACCGCAGGAAACAAUAACUGCCAACGAAUCUAACGAUUCUUUCGAAUACGCUUUAGCUGCUUAAUUCAGCUAACGUGGCCGGACUCAGCGCCUGUCCUCAUUUCGGUCACGUAAAAUAGGCAGGAUACCGCUUCAGCCGCCCGACUGAAGUUGGGAAUCUAAGGGCUGGGCUUAUCGCCGCCGCGCUUCGGACGGUGGUGGUCGGCGAGAUCAAUUCCGAAGCUACGCUCGUAGAAAUCUGGUAUAACGUGUCUUCGGACGGGACGGGCAGCACGUCCCCGCCUCCACCA
rnacentral:tmRNA from 1 species